rnacentral:rRNA from 1 species
UACGUGAGGGGCGAACGUUGUUCGGUGUCACUGGGCUUAAAGGGUGCGUAGGUGGGCAGGUAAGUCAGUGGUGAAAUCCCCGAGCUUAACUUGGGAACUGCCAUUGAUACUAUUUGUCUUGAAUACUGUGGAGGUUAGCGGAAUAUGUCAUGUAGCGGUGAAAUGCUUAGAUAUGACAUAGAACAUCAAUUGCGAAGGCAGCUGGCUACACAAAUAUUGACACUGAUGCACGAAAGCGUGGGGAUCAAACAGG